AGGAGAGGAUUUUGAAAAGGUGCGACACAUACCCUCCAUCUCAGCCUGAUACUCUCCACAACAAUCUACCAGUCGCCAUGGUUGAUGAAUUGGUAGCGGACCCAGAAUACUUGGUGGAGGACUACUGACCAUCAUUACAUUCGGAUGUGAUAAGCUUUGUUCUUCUGUUACACAAUUGAUCACAUCCAUCAGAUCUUUAUGUAAUUUUAUUUUAUUUUUCCCUUUUCUUCAUGAAUUUAGAUAUUGCAAAUUCUUGAUGGUAAUUCAGUGUGUGAUGUGGGAGAAUUUGUUGUUAAAUCACACGUCCAAUAUAUGAUCUUCAGAAAACUUUGGCAGACAAAUAAAUGUAUAUUGGGAAACUACUGGAGUAAUGCUGAACUACAGCAGUCGAAUCUUGCUCUGCUAACGUUGUCCUUCCUUAGCUUGGAACAAGAUAUUUGAGCUAAAUAUAAA
rnacentral:misc_RNA from 1 species